rnacentral:lncRNA from 1 species
CACUGAUUCAAGUAUUAAAAAAAUAAUAAUCUGUUAUCACUAGUAUACUAAAUGCAGUUAAAGAUGUGCUGACCUUUUACAUGUGUAUCAUUUUCAUGUGUAACUGUACUCAAUUCAAGUAUUCAUGGGUUGUUUUAUUUGCUACUAGGCACUGUGGACUGGUGUCUUGCACCAUGUGUGUGAUGAACACCAAUGGGCUCUUGGAGCUUGUGACCAUGACCCGAUCACAGAGGAGACCCCUCGGACCAAAACCUGGCUUGUGCCUGGUUCUCCAGCCCACAAGAAGCUAACCGCCAUCAUCAUGAAUCCGAGAUGGCUGAAGACAAUUUACAAGUACCUGCGCUUCCGAACAACCUCUGAUCUGGAGUCGUUCCAAAACCACAUCCUGAUGUAUGCCUCAAAGAGGUAUGGUUUCAGCCCCCCAGUCUACGAAGCCCGUUGCAAGUUGGCAGCCCUAGAUUACAACGAGCACAAAGACAGGGCAGUGUGGAAGACAAAAGAUGGGGAUAUCAAGAGACGCUUCCAGAAGAAGUCAGAUAGGUGGUCUAUCUACGUUUCGAGGGAGCCAAAGAAAUACACAUACAUCACAGACCUGCAGUCCCAAAUCUUGGAUGAAAGGAUUGACUUGGGAAAGGGAAUGAGCAGGAAGCAGCCAAUGUCAGAGACUGAUCCUAGGAGGCUCGGUCUUCUGCCCAGAGUGCCACCAGUCCCAACCAAUGUGCUGGUCCUGGAGCACAGGUCCAGGAUAGAUGAGUCUGCAGGGGAGUCUUCAACUUUUAUGGGAUUGUCAUAGUUUUCUGUUAUUGUAGGGUAGGUAGGUAGAUAUUACAGUCGGGUUUGUCGGUAACCUUUGUAUUGGCCUUGUGGGUCAGGAAAAGUGUUUCUGAUCCUCCACACACAACAACUGGGUAUCACAACUCUAUUGCCCUCUCCCAGGCGCCCAUACUGCCACAGCACAAACUGUCUGUAGGCAGCAUGCCAGAACUCUCUGUUGUCUUCCCCAGGCUCCUGGACGUCCUGCAAGGCCAGAAUGUCAUUCCUGUACAUUCUGGCCAGCCUCAGGGUACCGUUGUCCAGAAUGUACAAAUCCAUGUCCUGAAAAAGAUCAUGCUUAGGUCAACACUGUGCUUUUUUUAUGAUAUGUACUGAUAUAUAUGACAUGUACUGCCAAAUAUUAAAUUGCCUACUGUUCAAGUUUUCAUACUGUCUUGUCAAGUAAUUGUCAACAUGAGUAAUGAUAAUAACACAUG